rnacentral:sRNA from 1 species
GUCAAUAGGUAGCUAGUUUAGGCUUUAUUGGCUUCUUUCAUAGCAUCAGUUGAUGACUCGUUGUAUAGAUAGGGAAAAAUAAAGGUACAAAGGAUCUAGAGUCCUUUCAGAAACAAGCCCUAAGGAUGUUAUACUUCACACUAAUCCUGGCUCUUGUUGGUCAACUGGUCACUGCAGAUAAAAAACAGCAAAUAGCCUUGUCGGAAGCAUCUACGAAUUUCUCUGGACAACUAUAUCAGAAAAUCGCACUUAAUGAGCCAAACAUUGUAUACUCUCCAUACAGUAUUCAUUCAGUUCUGACAAUGAUCUCAGAGGGCGCUCGAGGAGAAACGUCUGCUCAGAUAAAGGACAGCCUGUCAAUUACUUCCC